UACGGGGGGGGCAAGCGUUGUUCGGAAUUACUGGGCGUAAAGGGCUCGUAGGUGGCCAACUAAGUCGGACGUGAAAUCCCCCGGCUUAACCUGGGAACUGCGUCUGAUACUGGGAGGCUUGAGUAUGGGAGAGGGAUGUAGAAUUCCAGGUGUAGCGGUGAAAUGCUUAGAUAUGACAUAGAACACCGAUAGCGAAGGCAGCUUGCUACACAAUCAUUGACACUGAGGCACGAAAGCGUGGGGAUCAAACAGG
rnacentral:rRNA from 1 species